rnacentral:rRNA from 1 species
ACUCCUACGGGUGGCUGCAGUGGGGAAUAUUGGACAAUGGGCGAAAGCCUGAUCCAGCCAUGCCGCGUGUGUGAAGAAGGCCUUUUGGUUGUAAAGCACUUUAAGUGGGGAGGAAAAGCUUAUGGUUAAUACCCAUAAGCCCUGACGUUACCCACAGAAUAAGCACCGGCUAACUCUGUGCCAGCAGCCGCGGUAAUACAGAGGGUGCAAGCGUUAAUCGGAAUUACUGGGCGUAAAGCGCGCGUAGGUGGUUAUUUAAGUCAGAUGUGAAAGCCCCGGGCUUAACCUGGGAACUGCAUCUGAUACUGGAUAACUAGAGUAGGUGAGAGGGGAGUAGAAUUCCAGGUGUAGCGGUGAAAUGCGUAGAGAUCUGGAGGAAUACCGAUGGCGAAGGCAGCUCCCUGGCAUCAUACUGACACUGAGGUGCGAAAGCGUGGGUAGCAAACAGGAUUAGAUACCCUGGUAGUCCACGCCGUAAACGAUGUCUACCAGUCGUUGGGUCUUUUAAAGACUUAGUGACGCAGUUAACGCAAUAAGUAGACCGCCUGGGGAGUACGGCCGCAAGGUUAAAACUCAAAUGAAUUGACGGGGGCCCGCACAAGCGGUGGAGCAUGUGGUUUAAUUCGAUGCAACGCGAAGAACCUUACCUGGUCUUGACAUAGUGAGAAUCUUGCAGAGAUGCGAGAGUGCCUUCGGGAAUUCACAUACAGGUGAUGCAUGGAUGUCGUCAGCUCG